GGAGGGGUGCCGGAGCGGCCGAACGGGACGGUCUUGAAAAUCGUUGAGGCGCAAGCCUCCGUGGGUUCGAAUCCCACUCCCUCCG
rnacentral:tRNA from 1 species